GCUGCUUCUGGAAGGAAGGAGAAGCCCUGGCUGGCCCCUCGGCAGCACGGCUCCAGGGGGUUCUGCACCGUCCACUGCUCUCUGCCGUGCCAGACCACCCAGGCCCGUGGUGCUGAGCCCCACCAUGGAAGACGGGCGCGAGCUGGACCUCACCUACAUCACUGAGCGCAUCAUUGCGGUGUCCUUCCCCGCCGGCUGC